CCAACCUGGCUUGGCAAGGUACAUUAAAAUGUAUCAUUCUGCAGUAUGAAAGGCUUUCCAAAUUGACCUUUACCAACAAAGCUCGACAAGGCAGUGUUCGAGGGUGUGCCUAGGUGAAACACAUGGUCUCCAUCACCCUUUCCUUCUAGAGCCAGUACCAGGGAGGCAAGCCCAGGAUCGCAUUCUUGGCCCCAAUUGAAGGAAUGACAAUUUUCAGGAUUGACGUGGAUGGAUUUUAUUG